UCCAUAUAAAAUAGGCAAAAUGGCUUCCUGGCCACUCAAACUUGCAGCCGAUUUUAAAGUCAAUACAUCAACUUACAAGUUUCCCAUUUGAACACUCCAACUAGUGAUACCCUUGACCAAUAAAUACGUUGGACCCUUGACCAUCUGCGCGUAUAUCACACUUAUGCUAACGUGUCCGCCCAGUUAGCAUUGAGCCAAUUAAAACAUUACACGUCAGACACCCAACCCUUCUACCAUUUCCGGUUGCAUUUUUCUCUCUAUCAGUGAAAAUCCAAAAUCAAGACUCCAUUUUUACUCUGCAGUUGAGCUUUGUAGUGCUCAUUCCUACAAAACCGAAAUCAAGAAUCCCUUUUUAACUCUACAACCAAAAAAGAUUUUUGAUUUUCAUGAGACGGAAGGGAUUGUUUUUUAAGAAAUUUCAGCCUCAAAAGCAAAAGCUUACGGCUUACCUUCACAAGGAAAAAUAGGAAGUAUGAAACUUCAAAUUCCCAAAAAUCAAAAUUCAUAUCGUCCCCGCAUCAUCACGCUUCCCCUUUUUAUCUUUUGUCGUUGCCUCUAUUGCUUCAUUCACAUCUACGCAUGUGACGUUUCUCUUAUUUCUCUCUCUAGAAAUGUACUGUACAAGCUAG
rnacentral:lncRNA from 1 species